rnacentral:misc_RNA from 1 species
CGCACCUUGCACCUUUUGGCAUUCCGAAAGGUACAUCUGUUUGAGUGUCAUGAAUACCUCAACCUCUACAUUUUCUUGUAAGGUGUAGCAGCGUUGGAUGCUGAGCGUUGCUGUUGCCUACUGCACAGCUCGCUUCAAAUGUAUAAGCAAUCUUUGUACUGCUCGGAUUGACUUGACGUGAUAAGAUCUUCGUCGAGGAUGCUUUCAAUAGCAGCCGGAUUGUACACUAGUCGCUUCUAAACCGAGUCGCCCUUGCGCGAUGCUCCUCUACUUUAGACCUCAAAUCAGAUGGGACUACCCGCUGAACUUAA